rnacentral:rRNA from 1 species
GAUAAACGCUGGCGGCGUGCAUAACACAUGCAAGUCGAACGAAGUGGCGAACGGGUGAGUAACACGUGAGUAACCUGCCUUACACAAGGGGAUAGCCUUUGGAAACGAAGAAUAAUACCCUAUAGUGUAAGAUGGACUUGCGUCUGAUUAGCUAGUUGGUGAGAUAAAAGCACACCAAGGCGACGAUCAGUAGCCGGCUUUAGAGAGUGUACGGCCACAUUGGGCCUGAGGCACGGACCAAACUCUACGGGAGGCAGCAGUGGGGAAUUUUGCACAAUGGGGGAAACCCUGAUGCAGCGACGCCGCGUGAUUUAGAAGGCCUUCGGGUUGUAAACUCCUUUCGACAGGGACGCGGUACCUGUAUAAGAAGCACCGGCUAACUACGUGCCAGCAGCCGCGGUAAUAC